GAGAGUUCAAAGGAGAGGCCAGGUGCAGUGAUCAGACUGAUCACAGCAAUCAACACAAACAAAGCAGAUUGAACUGUUGAACCCGGUUUCGCGCCUCUUCUCCGCAGUUUGAGCUGCGCGCUGCUCUCCUGCUUCAGUGACUCACUAAAAGCCACAGAAGGAACGACAGCCUCCUGACAUGACAGCUCUUCUUGAGACAUUGUAAUCCAACUUGGAUGGAACAACUUCGUGACCUUAAUCACCUUACAGAUGGAGCCCGUUGAGAUAACCACUUAUACCCAUGUGUAUGAUGACAUUGGAAGGCCUAUAUAUGACAAUGUAACCGUGGAAGAAAAUGUAAACUAACCUUUAGUCUAAGCUUGUAUGAUAUAAUUGUGUAAAACGCCUCACAAGGAACGGACAAUUAUUGAUGUGAAACUGCUGACUAAAAAGUUUAAAUCCCAAAGAGAUUGUUGUGGUGUUACUAACAAAUAAUGUGUAAACAAAUAAUCAUGAUUCUGCUUAGACUGCUUAACCAAAAUACGUAAAUCACAUUCUGCUUAGAAUUAGAAAGAUACAAGUAAAAUGAUUGCCUUUAUUGAACAUGUUUAAUAAUCAUCAAUAGCAUAAAUAGGAGGGAAAUGAUGGGGAUAUAAAUGUCUGUUAUGCUCUUGCUGACCUUAUCUAAUACUAAACAACCAGGAGAGGCUUCUCCUUUGCUGUGACCCCACACGAAGGUUAAAGAACAUAUCUUCAGAAACGUGUCUUGUGAAAACGAUAUGGAAGUGAAAGAGAUGAGCCAGCAACGGAGGGAAAGAACAGGUCAACGCCUCAACGGCUUAACCUCAGUUCAACGGGUUACCCGCAGUUCCACUUCCCUUUUGAUGAUGUGUAUGUGUGUGUUAAGGUUUCAAUAAAAGGCUGAAGCAAAGGGGUGCUCAGUGGGAAGUCUUGGACGUCGACACUGCUCUGAGCAGGUGUGACUGAGCUCCCCCUUUUGCAAAAGCCAUCAAAGAUACUGCUUGUCUGUGGUUCAUUCUCGCCUCCUUGACCGUGAUAUUUACAUGAUAUAGAAAAUACCUAUCACACCUAGCAACACGAUGUUUUUUUCUUUAUUUGUGUUAGAGCUAGAGAGACACACAAGCACCACAGGGGAGGAUCUGCAGCAAAGGGCCCACCGGAAAUCAAACCUUGGCCGCCAUGAUGACGACAUGUGGCACUUGAGUGUGAAUCUAGCCUUUUCAUUUUUAUUUACAACAUUAGCAUUGAAAAGAGCAAAAGUUGAUGCUUAAGAUGAUUUAGUUUUUACCGAAGAGGAUGUAUGUCCUCCCUUUGUCCUUUAUCCCCUUACUCUUUCUUUUUAGGUGUGAUUACGACUACCAGCAUGAACCUCAACACCUUCUUUGCUGUUCCACUAGUGUGACCCAUGAUCGGAUACAAGUUGUCAAGGAUAAACGGGAAGAAUCAUGUCAGCCCACAGACAACCGAUUGACCUGUGAGCCUUCAAGCAGUAAUGAUGACUACUCCUGCCUUAAGUUCCAGUUUCCUGAACAUCAUGUCGGCAUGAGAUUCUGUCCCCACCUGUCUUCAGUCUGGACCCAAUAAGUUUUUUUUUUUUUACAGUGCAUUUACAGUCACAUGGUUUAUUUCGAGGCUUUGUCUGAGUUUCAGUGCUGCAGUUAUUUACCAUUCAGGGUUGUUCAGAAACAUCCAAUUUGUCAUACUCAUUUGAAGGGCUUGCUGCAGUGAUUCUUUUGUGUACACCAGGAUUUCUUUGUAUUUUGGCAUUUCACACAAAUGUUUUUGAAAGAUGGUCAACAAAGUUGCACAAAUAAAUGUUUACAUGCUGUUA